CACCAGGUUGAUUCUGCCUGACGUGUGUGCUAGUCUUGGGGACUUAGCCAUGCAAGCUAGCGAAGCGGAGCGGAGCGGCGGACGGCUCAGUAGGACGGCGAUAAUUCACCCGCGGCAGAAGAGGGAUAACCGCGGCAAGCUGCGGCUAAGACAAGGGAGGCUGUGUUGCGGGGAGGCGCACGCAGCGGACACGGCGGCGAAGAUGCCGACCUAUCAGCUAGUAGGUAGGGUAAGGGCCUACCUAGGCGACGACGGGUGACGGGGGGUGAGAGCCUGAUACCGGAGAGGGAGCCUGAGAAACAGCUCCCACGUCCAAGGACGGCAGCAGGCGCGAAACUUGCCCAAUCCCUACGGGGGGAGGCAGCUACAAGACGUGGGGAAGCCCCGGAAAGCACGGCAAAGGAGUGCGUAGCGACUGGAGGGCAAGUCUGGUGCCAGCAGCCGCGGUAAUUCCAGCUCCAGGAGCGCACAUGUGUGUUGCUGCAGUUAAAACGUCCGUAGUCGGCCAUGAGGGGCAGUGAGGAAAGGGCUGUGCUCAAGGCGGUGUGCAGCGCGGGACCCGGGGCGAGAGGAACGGACGACGGGCGCGGGAUCUGGGGGCGAGAGGUGAAAAUCGGGGACCCUCUGGGGACGAGCGGAAGCGAAGGCGGCGCCCGAGGACGUGUCCGUUGAUCAAGGACGAAGGCCGGAGGAUCAAAGAUGAUUAGAGACCGUCGUAGUUCCGGCAGUAAACGAUGCCAACGGGGCGAAGCCAAGGGGCUGUGUCCGGGAGAAAUUGGAGUGUUUAGGCUCUGGGGAUAGUACGGUCGCAAGACAGAAACUUAAAGAAAUUGACGGAAGGACACCACAAGGAGUGGAGUGUGCGGCUUAAUUUGACUCAACGCGGGGCAGCUUACCAGUGCCGCAUGCGCGGGAGAUUGGCGGCGGAGCGCCCCCGAGAUUGCGCAGGGAGUGGUGCAUGGCCGUUUGCAACACGUGGGGUGACCUGUCUGGUUGAUUCCGACAACGCGUGAGGCCUAGGGCGCAGGGCUGUGCGACGGGCCGCGGCAAGCGGCAGGAAGGGAGGCGAUAACAGGUCAGUGAUGCCCUCAGAUGCACUGGGCUGCACGCGCACUACAAUGGCGGGGCGAGACGGAGUGCCGAGAGGUGCGAAGGAGGCCUGGCUGCAGCGGGGAUGGGUGCCUGGAAGGGCGCCCUGAACGAGGAAUUCCUAGUAGCCGCGGGUCACCAAGCCGCGGCGAAUGUGUCCCUGUUCUUUGUACACACCGCCCGUCACUACCUAAGAUGGAUGUGCAGGCGAGGUGGCUGGAGGGAAGGCAGCCGAGCCGGUGCAACUAGAUAAGGUAUAAGUCGUAACAAGGCUACGGUUGANNNNNNNNNNNNNNNNNNNNN
rnacentral:rRNA from 12 species